UCGAACCAUUAUGCCUAUUCUUCUCAAAACCCUCUAGCUUUUCUCUCUUCCUCGAACCCUAUUCUUCUCAAAACCCCUGAUCUUCUCUCUAUCCCUCGAACCCUAUUUGAUCUCUCUCUCAAACCCUCGCGAUUUCACAUCUCUCUCUGGAGCCCUCUUUGCUCUCAUUGUCCCUCUCUCAAGCCCUAUUCGCCUCGCUGUCCCUCUCCCGAGCCCUCUUCACUGUCGCUGUCCCUCUCUCAAACCCUUGCUUCUUCCCCCUUUCUCUCUCGAACUGUCGUCGCAUAAUAACACAGCAAUGUCGUUGUCCUUCGUUGAUGAAGCAAUCACCUUCAUCGUUCGUUUCGGAGUCGUAGUUCGACGCUGAGAGAGUACCUUCAUCCACCCUAGGUUCGUGAUAAUACUCCAGGAGCGGGAAGGGUUCGGAGAGGAGUGAAAAAUAGGAAGAUUGUUCGGUGAGAAAUGCGAAUUAGGUCACGUGUUCGGUGGAAAAGGAAGAUUCAACGGCUGAAUCGGUGAAAUGGUGCAAAAAUGAGGAUGUAAUCGGUGGAUUCGAUGGAGAAGGCUAUAGUGAUUUAUCAGAAAAUAUUCCGGAAUUUAUGUUCUUUCUCUUCUCUUCGACAUUUAUGUAAAUGUUUUUGUGCAGGUUCAAGAAGUGUACGAAAUUUCAGCUGAGUAUGAAGAAAAGCGUGACCCUAAGAAACUGGAAGAAUUUGGAAAUAUGAUAACUAGUUUGGAUGCAGGGGACUCUAUUGUUGUUGCCAUGUCCUUUUCCCACAUGCUUAACUUGGCCAACUUGGCUGAGGAGGUCCAAAUUUCUCGUCGUCGAAGGAAAAAGGUGAAGAAAGGACAUUUUGCAGAUGAGAACAAUGCAACUACAGAUGAAAUCAAGAGGACCCCCCUAAGACCACAAGAUGAGCUGAGACCAGGGAUGAGCUACUUCCAUGAAACAAUUUGGAAUGGUGUUUCCAGAUUUCAUCAAGCAAUCUGCACCUUUUUAAGGAGUUAUGGAAAUGAUAUGAUUAACAUCGACCAUUGUUGUUACCAUCAUUUAAGAGUAUUAAUCCAUCUAAAUAGAUGAAGGAGGCACAAUGAUAAUGUUCUUUUGUUUUGGCAAGUCAAGCCUAUUGUACAUGUUUUUCAGGUGAUACUCCUGACUUAAUUUUGUUGCAUACGUGUUGGUCUCAGUCUCAUUUCCUUGGUUGUCAUAUCCUUAUGAGUAUGAAGAGGGAUAGAUUUAGCUCCUCUAAACUUAGCGAGGAAGGUUCAUGUGAGGAUAUAAGCUCUGAUGGUACAUAUAAAAUUGUCAUUGAAACAGUCAUGCCUCGAGUUUUCCACUGAAAAUUGGCUCUGGCACUGUUAGUUUUUUCUCAUUUGUAGUCCCAAAAUGGACUUGGCAUGCUUUUUCUGAUUUAUUUGAGAAGAAAGAGAUGUGGCCUUGUGAAGCUUGUGGGUUGAACAUUCCUUAUAAGAUGUUAAAGAAGAAAAAGGAUUUAAGGGUCGGGGGCCAAUUCCUAUGUAGAACAUAAAAGAGUUUUUAACAAAAUCAAAGCAUUAUUGUGGCAUAUGCAAGAAAGUUUGGGAUCUUCAGAUAGUGGAAGUUGGGUGCAUUGUGAUGGAUGGAGAGGAGUGUGAGUGCAUGCACAGGGAAUACCCAUUACUUGGUAUUUUGUCUCUUUGGAGGAAGAGGGUAGAGGACCAUGAAGAACAUUGGAAGAAGUUGUUAAAAGGGAUGUCACAGGGAAUAAUUCUCUAAGAAUUUGUUUUUUGACUGUACCCAAUGGUGUAAUCCAUAUAGUUGACAUAGUUUAAUGAAUUAAGAAUUUUGUUGUUGUUUUCAGCUUAAUAGUAUGGCAUUUUAGCAUUAUGAUAAACUGGAAAAAAAGAAUUUUAUAAUUCUUUCAUGAUGAAUCAACCAUUGAUAAAAUAUAAUUCAUUAUCUUUGAAGACUAGUUGCUUCCAUUUUUAUAAUCUAGAGCUGGAACAAGAUCCAGAUUUCAUAAUGUUGUCUCGCCAAUUCAAAGCUACUGUUAUGGAGCUUAUUUAUGUUUUAGAGCUGGUAAAGCUUUUACCUUCAGCACUUAACAUUUACUGAUAAUAUAGAAUUUUGAUUUGAGUAUUUAGCUCUAGAAAACCUAGGAUAAUAUAAAUAUUAGUUGAAUAUUACCAUUUCAGUCUAUGCGUGCCUAAAAUAUUUUGGGUUAUUCAUGUUAACUUCUGUUUUAUAGUUAUAUGUAUAAACUAUUAAUUUUAAUAUUUUGGGAUUGUCAUCUUUUUGUGUUGCAUUUGUAUUUAAUUACUAAAAAUUCCUUGCUUGUUUGUAGAAACAAAGAACUGGUUGAAGGGUUGCAAUUAAGGGUCACCUUAUGAGUGGCAAGUUUACAGGUUAAUUCUAUAUGGAUGGUACAAUUUUAAGAUUUGGGGAGUUGAAGGGACCAGGGGCAAUGAUUGAACAAGUUAAAGGGUUUUCGUAUUCAGUUUUUUCUCUUCAUGGUGCAAGCCCUUUCCUUCCAACAUCAGAUGCUGAUGUGAAGCAUAAUGAAUCAAUAACAACUACUUAGAAGAGCAAGAAGUCAUGGUGGGGAGUUUUGAAAUAUUAGUGGUAGUAGUUAUGAACAUUCUUUUAGAUAUUUUUCUCUUUUUCAUAUUUUUCUUAAUAUUUUAUAUUUUAUUGUAAAAGUUAAAUUUGAGUGUUAUGAGAUAUUAAUAUUAAGGAGUUGUAUUUAUUUCUUUGAACUCUCUUUAUAGAGUAUUCAAAUAAAAUUUUCAUGUUUUAAUUA